rnacentral:rRNA from 1 species
CUGCCAGUAGUCCUAUGCUUGUCUCAAAGAUUAAGCCAUGCAUGUGUCUGUAUAAGUCUUUUCAAGUCGAAACUGCGAAUGGCUCAUUAAAACAGGUAUAGCUUAUUCGAUGGUCUCUCGUUAUUUGGAUAAUUCUGGUAAUUCUAGAGAUAAUACAUGGUUAAAAACGCGACUUCUCGGAAGGGCUGUAUUUAUUUAUAUAUAGAACCAAACGGGCUGCCGUUUUUGGAUGAUUCAUAAUAAAAGUACGGAGCGCAUGGCUUGUGUCGGCGGUGGUUCAUUCAAGUUUCUGACCUAUCAGCUUUCGACGGUAGGGUAUUGGCCUACCGUGGCAUUGACGGGUAACGGAGAAUUAGGGUUCGAUUCCGGAGAGGGAGCCCGAGAAACGGCUACCACAUCUAAGGAAGGCAGCAGG